rnacentral:rRNA from 1 species
GGCUAAGGCGCUGAAUUUCAGUGCUAUGCUAAUCCCGAGCAGAGCUGCCACGGAGCGAUCUGUGAACGGCCUGUGUAGAGCACGGAAAGGUGUCGGCUGACUCUCAGAGUCGGCUUAAGGGACGUGCCGGCCCUCCUGAAAAGGUGGGGCUGUUAGUUGAGCGCCCAUCACGCGAAGACUAGCAGGACAAGGUGAAUUGUAGCGUAAAUUCACUCAACAGCAAACGGCCAGCAGCCGCGGUAAUUCCAGCUCCAAUAGCGUAUAUUAAAGUUGUUGCAGUUAAAAAGCUCGUCGUUGAAACUUGGGCCUGGCUGGCGGGUCCGCCUCACCGCGUGCACUCGUCCGGCCGGGCCUUCCUUCUGAAGAACCUCAUGCCCUUCACUGGGCGUGUUGGGGAAUCAGGACUUUUACUUUGAAAAAAUUAGAGUGUUCAAAGCAGGCCUUUGCUCGAAUACGUUAGCAUGGAAUAAUAAAAUAGGACAGCGUUCCUAUUUUGUUGGUUUCUAGGAACGCCGUAAUGAUUAAUAGGGACUGUUGGGGGCAUUAGUAUUCAGUAGUCAGAGGUGAAAUUCUUGGAUUUACUGAAGACUAACUACUGCGAAAGCAUUUGCCAAAGAUGUUUUCAUUAAUCAGUGAACGAAAGUUAGGGGAUCGAAGACGAUCAGAUACCGUCGUAGUCUUAACCGUAAACAAUGCCGACUAGGGAUCGGGCGAUGUUCUUUUUCUGACUCGCUCGGCACCUUACGAGAAAUCAAAGUUU